ensembl:lncRNA
UUCCUUGAACUGACCCAAACCAGGGCAUGAUGAGGCUUCAGCCCAUGCAUACAGUAGGACUGCAUUCCUUUUCUCAUGUUUCUUUUUCACCUAAAAACAAAUGCUGGAAGCCCAGGAGUUGAUCAGUUCCCAUCUGAACAGGGCCCUCUGAAAGAUGCCCAAUGCACCGUUGCUGGAAGAUCAAAGGCAAAUGCAUAGUCACAGAAAUACUGGUCGAAAGAUGCCUGUGAAGGCCAUCAACUCCAGCCUUCCUCUGCAAGCAGACUGCUGGUGAAUCAGGUCAGCUGAGACACUGUUGAGACUUGGAAGUAUCCGCAGGCUGAGGCACCACAGCCUCUCCAGGCACAGUACAUCCUGGUUUUCCAGAAGAGUGCCACAGAGUAUUGGAGCCUGCCCAGCUCUAUGCUCCUUGAGUAGAGGUCCAGCAGAUGGAAGGGGUGAGCCAGUGCUUCCUUUUGGGACCAGCCCAGUUCUGUUAUGCUCCCCACCUGCCACUGCUGUAUCCAAGCACGGGAGAAGCAGCUCCGGGCUGAGGCUUGGCUCACUGGUAAAGGACAAAAGGCACAUCCCAGCCUGGAUAGUCCUCCCAGUCAAGACACAGUUCCCAAGACAGAAGUGCCUUUACAAGAGAGAUGAAGGAAUGUUUUGGAGUUCUUGCAGAUUUUCAUCCCAGAACCAAAAAGCAAGAAGCUGGAAGUGCAGGAAAAGAGCAUGGAAGGAGAUUGACAUCUGUUUUCCCUUCACCGCCCUAAAGCAGCUCAGCAUCUGUUCCUGAGCAGCUGAGGAACCUCUGCUGUGGAGGCAAGAACCUUGGAGAGAAGGGCAGGGCACAUUUCCUGACUAAAGUCAAAGGCACAAGGUGCUGGCCAACACUGAGAUGCCAAACUGGAGGCUGGUGCACCCACCAGAUCUCUAGGAUGUCUCUCGGAGAUUGUGCAGAUCCGAGCAGCAGCACAAAGCAUCGUGAAGUCAAAUGUAACAUUAAAAAUGCAUUCAGCAUGGCUUCUGGCUUCCACAACUCCUGCAGUGGGGCCCCGUGACUCUCCCAAGCUCAGGUUUCCUGUGGUCAGCCAGGAUUGCCUCAUGGUCCUGAGUCAUCUCCAGUUCUUCUGACUCCAGGAGCAGAGCAGUAUCCAUCCCCAAGCAGCCUUGCUAGAGCAGAGCCUGAUUUGCUUAGAACAAAGACAGGACAGAAAAAAUGGACCCACAACAGAAGACAUACCUAUUAGAGUCGGCCUGCAUGCCUCCCACCAAGGCUGUGCUGGCUCUCCUCCAGGCUCUCUCAGCACAGCCUCUCCUUGCAUCAUCCUCUGCCCAGUGGCAGCUCCUGACAGCUGCCUGUUCCCUCCUAGGAACAGGAUUUC